rnacentral:tRNA from 1 species
GGUCUUAUAUUCAAGAAUGAUUUAAAAUUGCAAAUUUUAAGGAGUAAAUAAAGAAAUUACUAAGGCUU